rnacentral:lncRNA from 1 species
CUUAUCUGCUGCCCUACAUUCUACAAUUCCCAUGUAAUUAGUUUACAGUCACAUGACUAUUUCUGGCCAAUGAACUGUGAACAAUAAUAUGUAAUGUGUAUCACUUCUAGGUCAAGACAGUUAAGUGUACGUGUUCUCCUUUCAUUCUUCCUUUCUCCUUGCUGCAGUGACUUUGGGAGCUGUAUGCUGAAAUAGGGACAUUGAAAGAUGAGGAAAUUAUGGAUCUCCAAGUCACUAGAUGGAAGAGAGCACGUCAAAAACUUUAUAAGGAAGAAGGCAAAUUGAAAGCAGUGGCAUCACCCUGAGGCAAUCAGCAUCCCAAUUCAUCAGGAUGCUGGGAUGAAAGCUCUGUAGAUCCUGAAUUUGCCCAACAACCUGCUGAAUGCUUUUCCGAAUUGUCCCUAUCAAUCGGGCACAGAUCAUCUAUUUAAACAUACGAAAUGGCUUGACACUAAUAGCAUUUCUUCCAUUUUGGAAAAAAAAAAUAAGGACUGAUAUCCACAGAAGUAAAAAAACAAAAACUUCAGGAAAACAUCAUUAUAUAAGGGGGUGGUAUGUACCUUGAUAACAUAAAACGAUUUUACGUAAGAGAAUCUACCAACUGAACUCAUUUGUUUGGGUAUAAUAAAGAUAUAUAUCCUUAUAAUUG